UUAGUAACGGCGAGUGAAGCGGUAACAGCUCAAAUUUGAAAUCUGGGUCUUUUAGGCUCCGAGUUGUAAUUUGUAGAAGAUGCUUUGGGUGCGGCCCCGGUCUAAGUUCCUUGGAACAGGACGUCAUAGAGGGUGAGAAUCCCGUAUGUGAUCGGUGGCUUGCGCCCGUGUAAAGCUCUUUCGACGAGUCGGGUUGUUUGGGAAUGCAGCUCUAAAUGGGUGGUAAAUUUCAUCUAAAGCUAAAUAUUGGCCAGAGACCGAUAGCGCACAAGUAGAGUGAUCGAAAGAUGAAAAGCACUUUGGAAAGAGAGUUAAACAGUACGUGAAAUUGUUGAAAGGGAAGCGCUUGCAACCAGACUUGCGCGGGGUUGAUCAUCCGGGGUUCUCCCCGGUGCACUCGGCCUCGCUCAGGCCAGCAUCGGUUUUGGUGGUUGGAUAAAGGCCUUGGGAAUGUGACUUCUUUCGGGGAGUGUUAUAGCCCUCGGUGCAAUGCAGCCUACCGGGACCGAGGACCGCGCUUCGGCUAGGAUGCUGGCGUAAUGGUUGUAAGCGACCCGUCUUGAAACACGGACCAAGGAGUCUAACAUCUAUGCGAGUGUUUGGGUGUCAAACCCAUACGCGUAAUGAAAGUGAACGGAGGUGAGAACCCUUAAGGGUGCAUCAUCGACCGAUCCUGAUGUCUUCGGAUGGAUUUGAGUAAGAGCAUAGCUGUUGGGACCCGAAAGAUGGUGAACUAUGCCUGAAUAGGGUGAAGCCAGAGGAAACUCUGGUGGAGGCUCGCAGCGGUUCUGACGUGCAAAUCGAUCGUCAAA
rnacentral:rRNA from 1 species